GUCACUUCUUGGCUUUUUGGCUAAGAUCUAUUGUAGUAUCUGUUCUUAUCAGUUUAAUAUCUGACACGUUCUGUAUCCGAGGACAACAUAUUAAAUGGGUUUUUGGAAUUAAAAGGUGGAGUAGAAGCUUACUCUUUUCGCUCUGCGUAUCGACCUAGUAUUGUAGUGUUUCCGGGAACGGUGCAUUGCUU